rnacentral:lncRNA from 1 species
UCGGCCUCUCUGAAGCUCCUCCAUUUCUGGCUGCUUUUCACUGCCGUCUGCCUGCCUGUGUUCUUGUCUUCACGCCGGCCUUUGGAGAGGCUCUGCAUUGAACGACCUUGCACUGGGCCGGUUUCUUUUCUAAAGGACUGCAGUGUGAGAAGGCAGCACCGCCCCGGCGCCCGCGAGGAAGCCGAACUGCUCAUAAGUUAAGCAGCCCCAGCCAGGUCACGGGGCAAGGAAGCCGCCUGCGACCUCGGAAACCCCUGGUUCAUCCCAUGACCCACCCCCGUUCAUCCGGUGACCCACCCCUCACCCCGGUUCAUCC